rnacentral:misc_RNA from 1 species
GUCGUAACAAGGUUUCCGUAGGUGAACCUGCGGAAGGAUCAUUACCACACCGAUCCACGAUCUUUCUUCCCGCGAAGCGUCGUCCCGAUGAAGCUGGUGGGUCUGGUGGCGUGGUGUUUCACUUGAUGGUGUGCACCGCGUCGCUGCCCACUGGUGGGACGGCAAACACAAAGUGCCGUCUGCAUGCCGUCAUACGGUGUGCGGAUGGUGCGCCCCGUCACUUUUACGACGUAAACCAGUCUUGACCCAAAGUAACUGAACCGAAAGGGGUGGUUGGCCGCAUGGCCAGCAACCCUAUUAAAGUAAACAAUACCUUACAACUUUCAGCGAUGGAUGUCUAGGUUCCCA